CCUACGGGAGGCUGCAGUGGGGAAUAUUGGGCAAUGGGCGCAAGCCUGACCCAGCAACGCCGCGUGAAGGAAGACGGCUUUCGGGCUGUAAACUUCUUUUAUGAGGGACGAAGGAAGUGACGGUACCUCAUGAAUAAGCCACGGCUAACUACGUGCCAGCAGCCGCGGUAUUACGUAGGUGGCGAGCGUUAUCCGGAUUUACUGGGUGUAAAGGGCGUGUAGGCGGGAUGGCAAGUCAGAGGUGAAAACUAUGGGCUCAACCCAUACCCUGCCUUUGAUACUGUAGUUCUUGAGAGCUGGAGAGGCAAUCGGAAUGCCGGGUGUAGCGGUGAAAUGCGUAGAUAUA
rnacentral:rRNA from 1 species